UGAACGCUGGCGGCGUGCCUAAUACAUGCAAGUCGAGCGAACAGACGAGGAGCUUGCUCCUCUGACGUUAGCGGCGGACGGGUGAGUAACACGUGGAUAACCUACCUAUAAGACUGGGAUAACUUCGGGAAACCGGAGCUAAUACCGGAUAACAUGUUGAACCGCAUGGUUCAACAGUGAAAGACGGUCUUGCUGUCACUUAUAGAUGGAUCCGCGCCGCAUUAGCUAGUUGGUAAGGUAACGGCUUACCAAGGCAACGAUGCGUAGCCGACCUGAGAGGGUGAUCGGCCACACUGGAACUGAGACACGGUCCAGACUCUUACGGGAGGCAGCAGUAGGGAAUCUUCCGCAAUGGGCGAAAGCCUGACGGAGCAACGCCGCGUGAGUGAUGAAGGUCUUCGGAUCGUAAAACUCUGUUAUUAGGGAAGAACAAAUGUGUAAGUAACUAUGCACGUCUUGACGGUACCUAAUCAGAAAGCCACGGCUAACUAC
rnacentral:rRNA from 1 species